rnacentral:rRNA from 1 species
UCGAGAAUUUUUCACAAUGGGCGAAAGCCUGAUGGAGCGACGCCGCGUGGGGGAUGAAUGGCUUCGGCCCGUAAACCCCUGUCAUUCGCGAUCAAACCUGGCUAUUUAAAAGAUGGCCAGCUGAUAGUAGCGGAAGAGGAAGGGACGGCUAACUCUGUGCCAGCAGCCGCGGUAAUACAGAGGUCCCAAGCGUUGUUCGGAUUCACUGGGCGUAAAGGGUGCGUAGGUGGUGAGGCAAGUCGGAUGUGAAAGCUCGGAGCUCAACUCCGAAAUGGCAUUGGAAACUGCCUUACUCGAGGGUCGGAGGGGGGACUGGAAUUCUCGGUGUAGCAGUGAAAUGCGUAGAUAUCGAGAGGAACACCAGUGGCGAAGGCGAGUCCCUGGACGACUCCUGACACUGAGGCACGAAAGCUAGGGGAGCAAACA